GAUGAACGCUGGCGGCGUGCCUAAUACAUGCAAGUCGAGCGAACAGACGAGGAGCUUGCUCGUCUGACGUUAGCGGAGGACGGGUGUGAAACACGUGGAUCCCCCACCUAUCAGUCUGGGAUAACUUCGGGAAACCGGAGAUAAUACCGGAUAAUAUACUGCACCGCAUUGUUCAAUAGUGAAUUUCGGUUUUGCUGUAACUUAUAGCUGGUUCUGCGCCGCAUUAGCUAGUUGGUAAGGUAACGGCUUAUCAAGGCAACGAUGCGUAGCCGACCUGAGAGGGUGAGCGGCCACACUGGAACUGAGACACGGUACAGACUCAUACGGGAGGCAGCAGUAGGGAAUCGUCCGCAAUGGGCGAAAGCCUGACGGAGCAACGCCGCGUGAGUGAUGAAGGUCUUCGGAUCGUAAAACUCUGUUAUUAGGGAAGAACAAAUGUGUAAGUAACUAUGCACGUCUUGACGGUACCUAAUCAGAAAGCCACGGCUAACUACGUG
rnacentral:rRNA from 1 species